AUACGGAGGGGGUUAGCGUUGUUCGGAAUUACUGGGCGUAAAGCGCGUGUAGGCGGUUCGGCAAGUCGGGUGCGAAAGCCCAGGGCUCAACCCUGGAAUUGCAUUCGAAACUGCCGGGCUAGAGUCCCGGAGAGGAAGGCAGAAUUCCCAGUGUAGGGGUGAAAUCCGUAGAUAUUGGGAGGAAUACCAGCGGCGAAGGCGGCCUCCUGGACGGUGACUGACGCUGAGACGCGAAAGCGUGGGGAGCAAACAGGAUUAGAAACCCCGGUAGUCC
rnacentral:rRNA from 1 species